rnacentral:rRNA from 1 species
UGGUACUGGGGUCCGGUAUUGCAUGUACAGGAUAGGUGGGAGGCUAGGAAGCAGUGACGCCAGUUGCUGCGGAGCCGCUGUUGGGAUACCACCCUUGCAGUACUGGGCUUCUAACCAGCCGCCGUGAACCGGCGGUGGGACAAUGCCAGACGGGGAGUUUGACUGGGGCGGUCGCCUCCGAAAGGGUAUCGGAGGCGCCCAAAGGUUCCCUCAGAAUGGACGGAAACCAUUCGAAGAGUGCAAAGGCAGAAGGGAGCUUGACUGCGACACCGACGGGUGGAGCAGGUACGAAAGUAGGGCUUAGUGAUCCGGUGGUAUUAAGUGGGAAUGCCAUCGCUCAACGGAUAAAAGCUACCCUGGGGAUAACAGGCUUAUCACUCCCAAGAGUUCACAUCGACGGAGUGGUUUGGCACCUCGAUGUCGGCUCAUCGCAUCCUGGGGCUGUAGUAGGUCCCAAGGGUUGGGCUGUUCGCCCAUUAAAGCGGUACGCGAGCUGGGUUCAGAACGUCGUGAGACAGUUCGGUCCCUAUCCGGCGUGGGCGUAGGAUAUCUGAGAGGAGCUGUCCUUAGUACGAGAGGACCGGGAUGGACGGACCGCUGGUGUACCGGUUAGACUGCCAAGUCUACGGCCGGGUAGCCAAGUCCGGAAGGGAUAAACGCUGAAGGCAUCUAAGCGUGAAGCCCCCCUCAAGAUGAGAUGUCCCAUUCGAAAGAAGUAAACCCCCUUGAAGACGACGAGGUAGAUAGGGCAG